GGGGGGGGAAUAUUUGGACAAUGGGCGCAAGCCUGAUCCAGCCAUGCCGCGUGAGUGAUGAAGGCCCUAGGGUUGUAAAGCUCUUUCAACGGUGAAGAUAAUGACGGUAACCGUAGAAGAAGCCCCGGCUAACUUCGUGCCAGCAGCCGCGGUAAUUAAAA
rnacentral:rRNA from 1 species